GCUCGAUCAAAUUGUUAAAUUUACAAUUUAAUUUUUAUACUCUUAAAUUCUUUCAAAUUGGUCUCAAAUGUGAUUCUCAUUACACCAAUAUAUAACCAACUCAUUCUUAUGCCAAUUAAUCAAUAACCACUCACAUUUCCCCUUAUGGUCAAAUGUGUUUGUAGAAGCCCAAUUUUGCUCAGGCCCAACCAAACAGAAAUCAAACCAAAAUAAAAAUAAAAAAUAAUAUGGUCUAGAGUCCAUUGACAAAUAUCAGACCCAAAUUACAUCAAGCCCAAGUGGCCCAAACCAAAAAAACCCUAAAGCCCACAACAACCUAAACUAUUUUCAGAAAAACAAAAACCUCGUGUCGCACCUUACCUAGUUGCCGCUGCACCCUAGCCUGCCACCACCAACUGCUUUGCCAUCACCAACCACCCCUGCAAGAAGAAGAGAAAACACCCAAACAACAGUGGCAAGAGCAAUAGAAAAAUAAUAAAAAAAUAUAUUGUAAAAUGACUAUAAAAAAGCCAAAAGCAGAUUGUAAAAGUAGGGGUUUUUUGCUUCUGAAAUAAAAAUCGAAAUAAAAAAGUAAAAAUAAAACAACCGAAAAAAUUCAAAGGUGAUUUUUUUCCUUUUUUUCCUUGAAUCCAUUAUUAUUAUUAUUAUUAUAU
rnacentral:lncRNA from 1 species